UACGUAGGGGGCGAGCGUUAUCCGGAUUCACUGGGUGUAAAGGGAGCGUAGACGGCCAUGCAAGCCAGGGGUGAAAGCCCGGGGCCCAACCCCGGGACUGCCCUUGGAACUGCAUGGCUGGAGUGCGGGAGGGGCAGGCGGAAUUCCUGGUGUAGCGGUGAAAUGCGUAGAUAUACGGAGGAACACCAGUGGCGAAGGCGGAUUGCUGGACAGUAACUGACGCUGAGGCGCGAAAGCGUGGGGAGCAAACAGG
rnacentral:rRNA from 1 species